UAUCUCUGUAGAGUCUGCAUAUCAAUAAGCGGAGGAAAAGAAACUAACUAGGAUUCCCUUAGUAACGGCGAGUGAAGCGGGAAGAGCUCAAAUUUGAAAUCUUCAAGGCUUCUACCUUGACGAAUUGUAGUUUAAAGAAGUGUUUUCUGUUGGAGUUUCGGUAAAAGUUCUUUGGAAUAGGACAUCAUAGAGGGUGAGAAUCCCGUAUUUGACCAUUUAUUUCAGCUGUGUGAUACACUCUCAAAGAGUCGGAUUGUUUGGGAAUGCAGUCCAAAAUGGGUGGUAAAUUUCAUCUAAAGCUAAAUAUUGGCGAGAGACCGAUAGCGAACAAGUACCGUGAGGGAAAGAUGAAAAGAACUUUGAAAAGAGAGUUAAACAGUACGUGAAAUUGUCAAAAGGGAAGCGUUUGACACCAGUGUUGUUUUCUCGAAAAUCAAUUAAGAAUGGCUGGAUUUUGUGUUGUAUUGACCUUAUAAGCUUUCUGCACUUUUUUCUAUGUCUUUUUUAAUGCACUUUUCGUUUAACAAGUCAACAUCAAUUUCUUUUGUUGUAAAAGAGUCAUUGGAAGGUGGCUUUCACUUCGGUGAAAGUGUUUAUAGCCUUUGACUUCUGCAAUCGGAGAGAUUGAGGUCUGCAGCGUAGAUCCUUCGGGGUUAGAUACAUUUGUGCUAAGUUAUAGUUUUUCAUAGACAACAUGUUGACUAUGAUUAAUCAUGUAGCUUACUCGCUUAUGCUAUUUUACCUACGCUUAGGAUGUUGAACGCGCACAGAGUCUC
rnacentral:rRNA from 1 species